GGGUGAUGUUAAUCUAUCUGUGUUUCAGUCCCAGGACAUUUUCCAGUUGCUCCUGCCACAACGAUCUCUGCCAUCUCAGUGCCUUUGAUGCCCCUCCUGAAUUCAGGAAGCUCUGCAGUGCCAGCAGGGCUUCACAAAACCCAGUUGCUACCCGAUCCUCUUCUCUUCCACCUCUCUGUCAUCUUCAAAGAAAUCUCAAAGCUUAUUUAAAAGGGCUUGAGUCACAUAGUCUGGGGAACUUAAGUCGACAGUGAUCACUUUCAGGAGAAAGAAGAUUAGUGGAUGGAGAGGAGGCAGACAGGAGAAUUGCCAGAAAGCAAGCAAAAACAGGGCCCUUGAAUGGUUGGAAGGGACUCAGGAAAGCCAGAGGACCCAGACCUUGCUCAACUUCAGUCCGUGAGGCUGCUUGCUGUGCAUGUCAGUUUGCCAUCCAGGAACAAUCAGGAGAUAGAGCUCAAUUAACAUAGGUGACUGGAUUCUCCAGUUAGUGUCCCCAGACGUGUGCUGAUCCUAACAAUAAUCAGAGCAAAUGCACAUGGGUCACAGGCAUCCGUUCGGUCAGAGCGUAAUGGAGUGGACAAGAAGCUUUUUCAUCACGAUGAGCCAGAGAAAUCAAAGCCCAGAGUUUCAGUGCAGACAAAGAUACAACAAGCUUAGGACUGGCACAGAAAACUCACAUCUGGAAAUGGAGUUUGUCCAACUGAGCCCUGCUGGAUCAGCAGGGAAUGGGAGCAAGGCCACUUUAAGCCAAAUAUUUAUUUAGCUAAUAAAUAUUUAUUGUUUACUA